AUUGAACGCUGGCGGCAGGCCUAACACAUGCAAGUCGAACGAGUGGCGGACGGGUGAGUAAUGUCUGGGAAACUGCCUGAUGGAGGGGGAUAACUACUGGCAACGGUAGCUAAUACCGCAUACCAUCAGAUGUGCCCACAUGGGAUUAGCUAGUUGGUGGGGGAACGGCUCACCACGGAGACGAUCCCUAGCUGGUCUGAGAGGAUGACCAGCAACACUAGAACUGAGAGACGGACCAGACUCCUACGUGAUGCAGCAGUGGGGAAUAGUGAACAAUGGUCGAAAGCCUGAUGCAGCCAUGCGGCGUGGAUGAAGAAGGCCUUCGGGUUUUAAAGUACUUUCAGCUGGGAGGCGUUACCCGCAGAAGAAGCACCGGCUAACUCCGUGCCAGCAGCCGCGGUAAUAC
rnacentral:rRNA from 1 species